UCCUUUUACUUGCAACCAAACGGAGGCUUAGGGUUUUACUUUAUUAGGGUUCCCAAGCACUCAUGUAUUUCUUCUUCCGCUCUUGAGCUUCAUUGCGUUCAUCUCUUCUCGGAGCAGCAGCGGCACGGCUACGGCUAUAGCAACAGUAAUAGGGGCGUUAGUCUUUUGGAAGCAAAGAUGGCGGAUUCCAAGGCAGUUACCAUUCGAACCAGAAAAUUUAUGACCAACAGGCUUCUCGCCAGGAAACAGUUCGUUAUUGAUGUUCUUCAUCCCGGAAGACCGAAUGUUUCGAA